rnacentral:rRNA from 1 species
AAUCAACGCUGGCGGCGUGCCUCAGACAUGCAAGUCGAACGAGAAAGUUCCCUUCGGGGAGCGAGUAAAGUGGCGCACGGGUGAGUAACACGUAGGUAAUCUACCUUCGGGUGGGGAAUAACCCAGGGAAACUUGGGCUAACACCGCAUAAUGCAGCGGCACCACAUGGUGACAGUUGUUAAAGCGGGGGAUUUUAGGACCUCGCGCCUGAAGAGGAGCCUGCGGCGGAUUAGCUUGUUGGAAGGUAACGGCUUACCAAGGCGACGAUCCGUAGCCGGCCUGAGAGGGCGGGUCGGCCACACUGACACUGACAUACGGGUCAGACUCCUACGGGAGGCAGCAGUCGGGAAUUUUGGGCAAUGGGCGAAAGCCUGACCCAGCAACGCCGCGUGAAGGAUGAAA